CAGCCGCCGCGGUAAUACGUAGGGUGCGAGCGUUAAUCGGAAUUACUGGGCGUAAAGCGUGCGCAGGCGGUUAUAUAAGACAGAUGUGAAAUCCCCGGGCUCAACCUGGGACCUGCAUUUGUGACUGUAUAGCUAGAGUACGGUAGAGGGGGAUGGAAUUCCGCGUGUAGCAGUGAAAUGCGUAGAUAUGCGGAGGAACACCGAAGGCGAAGGCAAUCCCCCGGACCUGUACUGACGCUCAUGCACGAAAGCGUGGGGAGCAAACAGGAUUAGAUACCCGCGUAGUCCCUGUCUCUUAUAC
rnacentral:rRNA from 1 species